GUCCACGUUAAAUCGCAGCUUCAUAAAUUUUUGACAGCAACAGAUUAUAUGGAAGCCCCUGAGAGACAGGGAGUCAUUUCCAUCUUCACAUUCUCUGCUGAGAGCCACUUGGACCUCACCCUGAACGCACUUCAAGAGUUUGGGGCUGCAAUGAGCAAGGUUACGAUUCCUGGGUUCAUCAGCCGCCUGAAGGACCACCACCAUGGGAGAAGAGGCAAGACUCGCAGCACCC